rnacentral:rRNA from 1 species
UACGAAGGGGGCUAGCGUUGCUCGGAAUUACUGGGCGUAGAGCGCACGUAGGCGGCUUUCUAAGUCGGGGGUGAAAUCCUGGAGCUCAACUCCAGAACUGCCUUCGAUACUGGAGAGCUUGAGUCCGGGAGAGGUGAGUGGAACUGCGAGUGUAGAGGUGAAAUUCGUAGAUAUUCGCAAGAACACCAGUGGCGAAGGCGGCUCACUGGCCCGGUACUGACGCUGAGGUGCGAAAGCGUGGGGAGCAAACAGG